ensembl:rRNA 5S_rRNA 5S ribosomal RNA
UCCUUCAGCAAAUCCUACCAGCUUGUGCCACCACAAUCAGCUAAGCUAAGCAGAGUCAGGUCUGGUUAGUACUUGGAUGGGAGACUGCCUAGGAAUACCGGGUGCUGUAGUGG